GGCGGUGUGCCUUAUGCAUGCAAGUCGAACGGUUCCGAUUUAUCGGGAUAGUGGCGAACGGGUGAGUAACGCGUAAGUAACCUGCCCCUAAGUAGGGGAUAACUUCGAGAAAUCGAGGCUAAUACUGUAUGUGGUGGUGGAGGUGACGCUCCAUUACUAAAGCUUUAGGGCGCUUGGGGAUGGGCUUGCGUCCGAUUAGCUAGUUGGUAGGGUAGUGGCUUACCAAGGCAAUGAUCGGUAGCUGGUUUGAGAGGAUGGUCAGCCACACUGGGAUUGAGAUACGGCCCAGACUCCUACGGGAGGCAGCAGCAAGGAAUAUUGUGCAAUGGGCGAAAGCCUGACACAGCGACGUCGCGUGGGGGAUGAAGGCCUUCGGGUCGUAAACCCCUUUUCUCAGGGAAGAAUAAUGACGGUACCUGAGGAAUAAGUCACGGCUAACUACGUGCCAGCAGCCGCGGUAAUACGUAGGUGGCGAGCGUUAUCCGGAUUUACUGGGUGUAAAGAGGGUGCAGGCGGCUUUUCAAGUCGAAUAUAAAAUCUCCCGGCUUAACUGGGAGGGACUAUUCGAUACUGUUGGGCUAGAGGGCAGCAGGGGGAGGUGGAAUUCCCGGUGUAGUGGUGAAAUGCGUAGAUAUCGGGAGGAA
rnacentral:rRNA from 1 species